UUUCCUAUCAAACUACUUCCUAAUGACAUUUGCCUUCUCAAUCUUUUCCUAUUGAUAAUAGUAAUAUCAAACUAUUACUAUUCUUUUGCUUUGGUAUUCUCUUUUGAUAUUUGGACUGUGAGGACACAAUCUCAUUUUCAGUUGGGGGUGCCUCCCUUGUACUCAUUUUGUUGAUUGUUUCUGCAUACUGNNNNNNNNNNNNNNNNNNNNNNNNNNNNNNNNNNNNNNNNNNNNNNNNNNNNNNNNNNNNNNNNNNNNNNNNNNNNNNNNNNNNNNNNNNNNNNNNNNNNNNNNNNNNNNNNNNNNNNNNNNNNNNNNNNNNNNNNNNNNNNNNNNNNNNNNNNNNNNNNNNNNNNNNNNNNNNNNNNNNNNNNNNNNNNNNNNNNNNNNNNNNNNNNNNNNNNNNNNNNNNNNNNNNNNNNNNNNNNNNNNNNNNNNNNNNNNNNNNNNNNNNNNNNNNNNNNNNNNNNNNNNNNNNNNNNNNNNNNNNNNNNNNNNNNNNNNNNNNNNNNNNNNNNNNNNNNNNNNNNNNNNNNNNNNNNNNNNNNNNNNNNNNNNNNNNNNNNNNNNNNNNNNNNNNNNNNNNNNNNNNNNNNNNNNNNNNNNNNNNNNNNNNNNNNNNNNNNNNNNNNNNNNNNNNNNNNNNNNNNNNNNNNNNNNNNNNNNNNNNNNNNNNNNNNNNNNNNNNNNNNNNNNNNNNNNNNNNNNNNNNNNNNNNNNNNNNGUUGGAGAAAUGAUCUUAGGCUUUCUUUGAUGUUCUUGAAGUCCACUUUGUCUAAAAAUCCCACCUUUGCACUAAAUAUAUCCUUAGUUGUCCCCUUUGAGCCUAAUCCUUUUUAUUGGCAACCACAUUAUGCCUUAUCCUUUUUGAAAAAGUAACCCUCUUUUGAACCCUUCCCUCCUUGAACUUGAGGUUGUGAAAAAAAUCGAGGCUAAAAACCUAAGUUGGUGGUGUUAUGGGAAAUUCAUUGAAGGGAUGGAUGCUUACAACAUGAGGGCUUGAUAGAAAAAAAAAAUGAAGAGAGAAAUUGAGGGUUGGAUGGAAAGUCUUAAAGAAAGAAAAAGCUUUGAAAAAAGAAAGAAAGAAAAUGAAUAAAUGAGACUUGAAUCCUUUAAAAUUUGAAAAUGGUUGUAUGUGGGGCAACUAGAGUAGAAAUAAGAAAAGAAUAAUGAAAAAUAGUGUGGAAUGUGCAUGGGUUUGAAAAGUGAGGGUUGGAUGGGAAGUCUCAAAGAAAGAAAAAGCUUUGAAAAAGAAAGAAAGAAAAUGAAGAACCUAAAUGUUAUCCUAACCUUUCCUAAGCCUAUAUUACAAGCUUAACAAAGUCCUUUGAGAUUUCUAACCAAAUGGAGUUGAGUCAAUAAUGAUUGAAAAUCUGGGCAAGCCUAUGGUGUGACAUUUUGUGUACAUGAGAUGAUUCUUUGUGAGUGUGAGUGUUGCAUCUUUGUUGUCCCAUGUCUUUUUUAUAUGUGUGCGGUUUUGGGACGCUUCUUUCAUGUGAGGGCAUGUAAACCGAAAAAGUGGUGAUUUUGAAAAUUCCUAAUUGAGUCAAGUGAGCAUGUGAAAGAGUUAAUGAGUUGAGUCAUCUCUUGAGUUUGAGUUGUUGUCACUUAAAUGAUUCUUGGUUUUUAAAACUGUAAUUAGAAUGUGAGGAUUUCUUAUGUGAAAAAAGUUUGCAUGUGGACUAUUUGUUAGUACCAACCGGAGCCAUUACCUUUGUGCUUAAUUGAGAAAGGGAAGCUGAUUUGUGGUGUGUCUUGAAAUAUGAGCCUCUUGUGUUCGAACAUUACUAAGAGUUGGGUAUUUUUAUUAACGACGACCGCUUACUCUGUUAACUUGUUUUGAGGGUGAUUUGAGCGUCAUCAAUUGUUUAAGAUUUUGGAAAAGUUUUAAACAUGUGUGUAUAUUACUUCCUAGUGAUGCAAAUCUCCAGCUUCUUUUCACUGUUGUGGAGAAUACACCAUCUGAAACAGUUUGAUCAAAUUGCACUGUUGGUCUUGGAGAUCUGGCAGUUCGUUUUUCUAAUCUGUUAGAGCCAUGGACAGAGCAUAUGUAUGCAUGAUUAAGAGAUCGUUCAUUCUCAUCUAAUACUUACUGAAUGACAUGAAGGUUUGGCUGGACUAUCAAACAUUUAUACUUAGCUUUCAUGUGUAAGAAUUUUUAUCAUCUUGAUUUGCGUGUAUCAUUAUUAGGUGGAAGUUUGUGUAAAUGAAAUGGCCAACUGUUUGGAAGAUGAAGAUGAAAGAAUUUCAAAUCUUGCCAAAACUUUCUUUCAUGAGUUGUCAAAGAUAAGGUAGUAUAUUUACUCAACUUUUCUUUCAUCAGUUCCCUAAUAAAGAAGUUCAUCUAUCUAAUCUCUUUCUAGUCUUUCUACUAUUGAGCUUCUUUCAUCUGUUAUUGCGUGUUUUGGUGUGCACGUCACUAUAAUACUUGUUUUUUUCCUUUACACUUAAUGUUUAGUGGGAACUUUUGCAUUGUUCCCGUCUUUUUGUUUAGUUCCAAUUUCUUUCAUUUGUUCUUGACCUUCAAUUAGGAGGAACAAAGGUAUUUUAGACUGGUUCCUCUUUUUUGGUUAGUUAUUAGGGUAUAUUUUCCUAAGAUUGUCGUAGAUCCAAGUGGAAACUUUUGAUUAUUGCAACUCUGUAAAACACAUGACCCUCUUUCUAAGAAAGUGUUCUUCUGCAGUUUUCUUGAACAAAGUAUGCGUUGAAACAGACACGUGGGAAAUUUGGUCUUUGUUCAAAGAUAGUACGUUGAGCAAUUGGUCUUGACCUGAUCAUCUGACGUUCCUCUGAUUCUACUUUUUUGAGUCUUUAGUUAUUUGUAUUAUAUUCCCUGUCUUGUUUCUGUUCUCUGUAGGAGGUGGUUGCGAGGGUGGUGGAUUAUUUCUUUGGAAUAAGAGAAUAUUUUGUACUGUUAGAAUGCUUCUUCCAGUGAUUUUUUCCUGUAUUUCUUCUUUCCAUUUUACUUGUUCUCAUCCAGAUCCUUUUCUCUCAUUUUAACUUUUUUUUAAUGUUAUAAUCACACAUUAAGUUUGAUGAUUUUGGAUGUCUUAUAAUUUUAACUUUUUCUAAUGUUAUAAUCACACAUUAGUUUGAUGAUUAAGAUGUCAAUGAAGUAAUAUUUCUCUGUUGGCAUUUGAGUGAUAUAUUAUCUGUAACUGAAGUUGUACUAUCUAAGGUGCAGUGUGAGCUGCAAUGUGAGGUAUGUACUGCACCGAAGCAAGGUGCAUGACAUUUAUUCAUAUGGGAACCCUGCCAAGUCUAAAUUCUCAACAGUUGCAUUAUUACUUAUUGUUAACAUUAAGUCAACCGUUGCUUACAGUGAUUGUUAAUCAUGUAAAAUCAAUUCAUGCUUUACUUCCAGGAGAAGAUGCUUUCCUCAAUGUGACAACUUAGAUUAUAUUUGAACUAAGAAAAAUAAUGGAGAUGUUCCAGGAGAAAUAGCUUGAUUGAGAAGCAGAAUAGAAAAAUGCAGAAACACCGAAGAAUUAGUGGAAAAGAUAAAUGAAUGCAAUCAAAGGGUAAUUCCAAAAAAGAGAAACAAAGUUGCAUAGUCUCCAUAGAACUAUAAAUGGAAUUUUAGUUUUUAAGAAAAUAUUGCUUUGUUAAUUUAUUUUGAUAAAGUGAAGUUACUAUUCGUGAAGGUCUUUGAACUUCUCUCAGGUAUUCAAACAAGUGAUUUUUUUGGAAAUUUGAACUAAGGCUCUAUGGUUGUCUGUAUCCCACCAUGGAGCUCUCCCUUGAAUCUUACUGUUUAAAUGUUGAUUAAUUUGCAGGCAAUGAGUGCAAGAUCGAUGCUGAGUUUUCUGACCGGUUCUUUAGCACUCUUUAAGCAUGUUCCUAAGGCUACCAAGUACUUCAACAUUAUAGUAAGUAUUGGUUAGUUUCAUCUUAUGCUCAAUUACAAUUUUCUAAGAUCAUUUUUUCUAUCAAACUACUUCCUAAUGACAUUUGCCUUCUCAAUCUUUUCCCUGUUGAUUAUAGUAAACGUGCAAAAAUAUUUUUGCUUUGGUAGUCCCUUGUAUUCUCUUUUGAUAUUUGGACUGUGAGGACACAAUCUCAUUUUCAGUUGGGGGUGCCUCCCUUGUACUCAUUUUGUUGAUUGUUUCUGCAUACUGCGAUUGUGCCCUUGUCGGGCGUACUUUUCCUCCUUGUUAUGGAUUGGUGUGCCCUUGUCGGGCUUUGAUAUUGUGGAUGUUUCUGUUGAUAUUGUGUUGGAUUGGUCUAUUUUAGUUUUUGAUUUGUAGUUUGUAGCUUCUUUGUUUUUUUUUUAUAAUAAGAUUUGGAUUAACGAUCCCCGAUGAUGGAUAGAGAGUGACGUCCUUCUUAAGGUUAAAUCAUCGAUUGCUUGUGAAUGUUUGAUUGGCGUUGAUUGUGGCGAAGUUUGAGUAGCCGUUCCCGAAUAGAUGCAUGAGGUUGCUUGUUGAUGGAUUGGUUGAUGACUUUAAGGGUAAAAUCAUCGUCAUUUUGGGAAGGUUUUGACUUGGUUGGUACUAAGAGCAUAGUCAUGCAUGUGAAUCAUGAGCAUACCUCUCCGUUUUUAUAAGGUUGAGCAUGUUAUGAAUGAUUUGUGACAACUCUUACAACUCUUUUUGUGACUUUUGAUUCGUUAGCGGUUAAAAUGUUCAGUGCUACUUGUAUUUUGAAAAGGAAGUAAGAUUUUGAACCAUCUUGAUUGAUUUGCAGGCCAUGUGUGGUGAGUUAUUGAAUAAUGCCUUGUGUUCGCUAUUGUCACCUAGAACUUGCCCGGUUGGUCUUGAAAUGUUGGUCUUGAUUGAGUUUGGUUGGAGAAAUGAUCUUAGGCUUUCUUUGAUGUUCUUGAAGUCCACUUUGUCUAAAAAUCCCACCUUUGCACUAAAUAUAUCCUUAGUUGUCCCCUUUGAGCCUAAUCCUUUUUAUUGGCAACCACAUUACAAGCCUUAUCCUUUUUGAAAAAAGUAACCCUCUUUUGAACCCUUCCCUCCUUGAACUUGAGGUUGUGAAAGUCGAGGCUAAAAGCCUAAGUUGGUGGUGUUAUGGGAAAUUCAUUGAAGUGAUCAAUGCUUACCAUAUCCGCUUGAUAGAAAAAAAAAGUAGAGAGAAAUUGAGGGUUGGAUGAGAAGUCUUAAAGAAAGAAAAUGCUUUGAAAAAGAAAGAAAGAAAAUGAAUAAAUGAGACUUGAAUCCUCCAAAAGUUGAAAAUGGUUGUAUGUGGGGCAACUAGAGUAGAAAUAAGAAAAGAAUAAUGAAAAAUAGUGUGGAAUGUGCAUGGGUUUGAAAAGUAGAGAAAGUUGGAAAUGAUGAGUUGUUGUGUAGUGUUCAAGGAGGGUGUAGUCACUUAUACCUAAAUGAUAUUCUAACCUUUCCUAAGCCUAUAUUACAAGCUUAACAAAGUCCUUUGAGAUUUCUAACCAAAUGGAGUUGAGUCAAUAAUGAUUGAAAAUAUGGGCAAGCCAAUGAUUGGUGUGACAUUUGUGUACAUGAGAUGAUUCUUUGUGAGUGUGAGUGUUGCAUCUUUGUUGUCCCAUGUCUUGUUUAUAUGUGUGUGCGGUUUUGGGACACUUCUUUCUUGUGAGGGCAUGUAAGCUGAAAAGUGGUGAUUUUGAAAAUUCCUAAUUGAGUCAAGAGCAUGUGAAAGUGUUAAUGAGUUGAGUCAUCUCUUGAGUUUGAGUUGUUGUCACUUAAAUGAUUCUUGGUUUUUAAAUAUGUAAUGAGAAUGAGAGGAUUUCUUAUGUGAAAAAAGUUUGCAUGUGGACUAUUUGUUAGUACCAACCGGAGCCAUUACCUUUGUGCUUAAUUGAGAAAGGGAAGUUGAUUUGUGGUGUGUCUUGAAUUAUGAGCCUCUUGUGUUCGAACAUUACUAAGUGUUGGGUAUUUUCAUUAAUGACGACCGCUUACUCUGUUAACUUGUUUUGAGGGUGAUUUGAGCGUCAUCAAUUGUUUAAGAUUUUUGGAAAAAGUUUUAAACAUGUGUGUAUAUUACUUCCUAGUGAUGCAAAUCUCCAGCCUCUUCACUGUUUUGGAGAAUGCACCAUCUGAAACAGUUCGAUCAAAUUGCACUGUUACUCUUGGAGAUCUGGAACUCGUUUUCCUAAUCUGUUAGAGCCAUGGACAGAGCAUACGUAUGCAUGAUUAAGAGAUCGUUCAUUCUCAUCUAAUACUGAAGACAUGAUGAAGGUUUUGCUGGACUAUCAAACAUUUAUACUUAGCUUUCAUGUGGACGAAUUUUCAUCAUCUUGAUUUGCGUGUAUCAUUAUUAGGUGGAAAUUUAUAUAAAUGGAAUGGCCAACUGUUUGGAAGAUGAAGAUGAAAGAAUUUCAAAUCUUGCCAAACUUUCUUUCAUGAGUCGUCAAAGAAAGGUAGUAUAUUUGCCCAACUUUUCUUUAAUCAGUUGCGACUUUCUACUAUUGAGCUUCUUUCAUCUGUUAUUGCGUGUUUCGGUGUGCACGUCACAUAAUACUGUUGUUUUCCUUUACACUUAAUGUAUAGUGGGAACUUUUUUGCAUGUUCCUGCUUUUUGUUAAGUUCCAACUUCUUUCAUUUUUUCUUGACCUUCAAUUAGGAAUGUUCCUCACAUUAUACAUGUAAAACGGGAAAACAAAGACCGGUGGCAUGGUGCUGAAAUCCAGAUUUUCUUUCAUUUUUUAUUGACCUUCAAUUAGGAUGAACAAUGGUAUUUUAGACUGGCUCCUCUUGUUUAGUUAUUUGGAUAUUUUUCCUAAGAUUGUUGUAGAUCCAAGUGGAAACUUUUGAUUAUUUUAACUCUGUAUGUAACACAUGAUCCUUUUUCUAAGGAAGUGUUCUUCUGCAGUUUUGUCUUGAACAAAGUAUGAAACAGACACGUGGGGAAUUUGGUCUUUGUGCAAAGAUGGUACAUUGAGCAAUUGGUCUUGACCUGAUCAUCUGACGUUCUUCUGAUUCUACUUUUUUGAGUCUUAGUUAUAUGUUUUAGAUUCCCUGUCUUGUUUCUGUUCUCUGUUAUAGGGUGGUUGCGAGGGUGGUGGAUUAUGUCUUUGGAAUAAGAGAAAUUUUUGUACUGUUAGAAUGCUUCUUCCAGUGAUUUUUGCCUGUAGUUCUUCUUUCCAUUUUACUUGUUCUCAUCCAGACCUCAAUGGAUGUCAGCAUGUACCAUAAUUUAAGAAUUUAUCCUUUUCUCUCAUUUCUACAGGCAUUGAUUUGGUCCAAGAUGAGUACAGGACUUUCCAUUGAGAUUAAAUCUUCCAUGAACAGUGAAAAUUAUACCUCAUUCUGUAGGCUGGAUAUUGAUAUUUACAAGUAUGAGAUGACUUAGAAAUAGAAAGUUAUAUUUAAGAAUGCAUGGUAACACAAGAUUAUAUUGUUUUUGUUUUCCAAGGUAUAUUACUGUAUUACGCCUUCUUUUCAGGAAUGUUCCUCACAUUCAUAUACAUGAAAACGGGAAAACAAAGACCGGUGGCAUGGUGCUGAAAUCCAGAUUGUCAUUGAAAGGAACUGGACAACGUACCGAGUAUGUAGUUCUUGAAUAGUUGUGACAGAAAUUCUACUACGUUUCACCUCAUUCAUGUGUUGAAAGCAAACUUAGUCAAAUUAUUCACCUUCUUUAUUUCUGAUUUCUUUCUGUGUUUACAGUCCAAAGUCAAUGCAUUAUAUGUGACAAAUGGCUGUCAUCAAGCCCAAUGCCCAAUUCCUUUUCCAAUUCAUAUCAGAUUCUCCCGAGUACUUUCUCUAUCUCCCCUCCGCCCCUUCACCCCUCUCCCUUCUCUUCUCCCCUUUGUUUUAAUUAAUUUGUUUGUGCAAGCUACAAGCAUGUCCACAAUUUUGUGUUCGUAAAAUAUGUGCUGCAUUCUUCGGUUUCACUCUAGUUUUGAAUUGAUUGUAGGAAAAAUGUGCUUAUAAGGUUUCACCAGAAGAACAGACAUAAUGCCUUCUGUUCCUCUUGAGACCAAGUACCAUCCAUCUGCUGUAGACAUACUUCUUAUCAAACGGCUUAUAACGGAAACAUCUAAACAGACUCUUUUGCAGUUUUCCUUCAGCAUGAAUUUGUAAACAUUGGGCAGUCUCAUGCAGAACGUUUAAUCUGUGAGAACUUGAAACUGAUUGCAUUCAUCUGUGUGAGAUUCCUUGAUAAAAUAAAUUAGUUGGCUCUAUGGCUUAUUGACCUUUGAAAAUAGUUUAUCUAUUGCUUGCAUUCUAUUCAGCCACUAUUAGACGACAGUUUGUUAUAGUGGUUACUUACUGCUCAGUGCUCACCAACUCAAUGCAGUUAGAAAAGAUAUAAAAUUGUCAUAAUGAUAGUAGAGUAGGUGGAGAUUUUUUUUUUGGAACUGGUUACUUGUAGAGUAGGUGGAUGUAUUUAAGGUCACACAUUGUUGCAAUUAGCCAACAAAAGAGAAUCGACCACAAUAUUGAAGGCAUUAAUCAACAAUGAUACACUAAAUGCAUUGUUAAUCAAGUUAGUCUUCAGAUUUUCAGCCUAGGAAAUGUCCUUACACUACUGUGAGAGAACUUGUUUAGAAUGCACUUGAUUCUGCUGAAUCCAUCUCUGAACUUCUAGUUGUAGAGAUAACCAUGUAAGUGAUUAUUUUUACUAUUUAGAUAACUACAUCAAUGAGCUAACAUAGAUCCUGUAAUGGGAACCUCUCUUCAUAGCUAGCUUAGUGUUGUUUUUUGUUUUGCUUCUGUAGUGAAGAGAUUGGCAGAAGUAAAUUUAAUCCCAUGAUUGGUCUGGGUGACCAUGAACGUAGAGAUGAAGCCCUAUAUGAUGAUUUUGAGACAGCAAAGGCUCGUGAGGUGUGUAAGCAGUGAUUUACUCUCACUUAGAUGGCAUUGUGAUUGAUAUUUUAUACUCACUGUUUGACAUUUAGCAAAUUUCAUUAGUGAAAUAUUUUUCUAGCAAAUUUCAUUAGAUGGCAUUGUGAUUUUUCUAACUACUGUGUCUAGAAAAGACUAGCCAAGGAAGCUCGGGUUCUAGAGAUUCAAGCAAAGAAUGUUGCUCUUGGGAAGAAAGUUUUUCCCUGCAGCUACAAAGGCAGCUAAGGGUAGGGAGGCAUUAUAUUAUAGGGUGACAAGCAAGGUAUUAUCUGUUUCUCUUUGUUCUUCUAUAUGCUGAUUCUGCUCUAAGUAUGCAAGACAAGAAAAGUACAUUGUUGAAUUAAAUCAAUUUGGCUUAGUUAGUGGAGACUUUAAUUACUGUACUUUGUUUGUAGUAUAGGAUAAUGGAAGAGGAAUGUCACAUGAUGAUAUCCCGAAUAUGUUUGUAGAGGUUUGAUGUGCUUGCCAUUUCCAGUUAUUUUCAAGUGGAAACUUUUGCAUGUUCCUGCUUUUGUUAUGUUCCAACUUCUUUCAUUUUUCUUGACCUGCAAUUAGGAGAACAAAGGUGUUUUUUAGACGCUUGAUACAUUCGUUUCAACUUUCAUCUCUAUUAUUUGUUUACUUGUUAUAUAUAUCUUGUUUGUUUUUUAUAUUUUAAUUAUAUUAUUAACUUUAAAUAUGGAUCCCAUUUAAAAAAAGUAGUGGUAAAAAAUCAAUUUAUGAAAAAAAGGUGCUACUAGUAGGGGUGGGGGAGGACUUAGUUCUCAUUGCAGCCUAGAUUUAAAACUAAUACCAACGAUUAUACUCAUGUUGAUGAAUGUUUUUUUAUUUCAUGUAACUCUUACGAAGACCUCGAGGGAAUUGAAUUGACCUCGCAACCCGCGUUUCUAAGCAAUAGUCAACCCAAGCUUGUACCAAGCUCUCAACACUCAUACAAUAAUUUCAAAAUAUCAAUAUUCAAAAUAGUCUACCUAAAAGAGAACCCAAACUAGCUAUUUAAAGUUUCAUGCAUUUAUUACAUAAGAGUCCCAAAAAGGAUAAAGGGUGAGCUGGAGGUCGUGCUCGCCUAAGGGACUCAGCGAGAUGACCCCUCCCUUGAAGCCUUUUGGAACAUUUGGCGAGCUUGGGUCCUCGCCCAAGCCAUUGGGCGAGUCUCCGAAUGGCUCUUACUCGCCUAAAGUGGCAGUUUCGUCAACUAUCUUCCCUUCACUUCCCCAAGCGAUCUUCAAGGACCCCUCCUUUGCCAUCAACACGAGCUCAAGGACCUCUAACUUCAUGAACAAACCUUGCAUCCUUUGAAGGUCUCGAGCUUGGCUUCGAGUGAACGACCUUGGUGCAAUCUGAAUUGCAUCAUUCUCUCCUUCUUGAAAAGAAUUUGUCCUCAAAUUCGACGGAUCAUCAUCAUCAAGAGUUGAAAAUGGAGAAAGAUCGCAAACAUUGAAGGUGUUGUGAACUUGAUACUCCGGAGGAAGGUCAAUUUUGUAUGCAUUGUCAUUUGAGUCUUUCAAGCACUUGAAAGGGACCAUCACCUCCUGGCAUCAACUUUGUUUUCCGAUGAAUGGGAAAUCGCUCCUUGCAAAAAUAAAUGCACCCACACCCACUCACCCGAUUCUAGUACAAUCCUCUUGCGACCCUUGUUCACCUUUUUGGCUACCUCUUGGUUCUUCUUUUCUAGGUGAAGUCUCACCUUCUCAUGAAGUUUCUUCAUGGCUUCCGCUCUUUUGCUCCAAUCUAAGGUUCAUUUGGUUCCUAAAACGUGAGGUGAGCUGCUGAUUCUACUCUUGGAGUGACUCAACAUAAUGCUCCCAGAAAUUGGAACCGGAAAUAAGAUAAAAGAAUAAAAAAAAAGACCAUAGUAGAUCUAUGAUUAGCCCUCGGUCGGGAUGGUCUUGUCGAAGAACUUGAUUCAUGCUAAGACAACAUCUUGAGAAAGAGGAGUGAGAUCACUUCAAAUGGAGUCUUGCCAAUAGUUCUAUGAAUAACUCGAUUAUAAGAAAACUCAACUAAAGGAAAAUGUUCCUCCCAUGAGGCCAACUUUCCAUGCACCACGACACGAAGCAUAGAACCCAAGGUCCUAUUCACAACUUUAGUUUGGCCAUCGGUUUGUGACAAGAAGUUGAGAACAACAACUUGGUACCAAGUCUACCCCACAAUUCUUUCCAAAAGUGACUUAAGGAAUUUUGUGUCCCUAUCACUUAUGAUGGUUUGAGGAAUUCCAUGCAAUUUAACAACAUUUUCAACAAACGAAGUAGCCACAUUGGGCUAUUUCAAAAAAAAAAACAAAGUAGCCACAUUGGAAGCAUCAUCACAUUUAUGACAUGGAAUGAAAUGAGCCAUCUUUGAAAAUCGAUCAACAACAACAAAGAUGCUAUCUCUACCUCUUUUUGUCUUUGGCAAACCCAAAACAAAAUCCAUUGAAAUAUUUGCCAAGGUCUUUGAGGGGUGGGGAGUGGAGUGUAUAAACCAUGGGGAAGGAGGCUUGAAUUGGCACUCGGACAUUCAAUACAUUGGCCACAAAUUCGAGCAAAAUCUUUGUGCAUCUUAGGCCAAUAGAAUUGUUCCUCGAGAAUUCCCCUUGUUUUAUCAACACCAAAAUGACCCAUUAAUCCCCCAUUGUGUGCCUCCCUCACAAAUAGUUCUCUCAAUAGCUCAUAGGCACACAUAGUCUCUUGCCUUUGAACAAGAAACCAUCAAACUUAGAAUAGGGAGUAGAAGGUCUAUCCCUAAGCCACCUUUCCCUCUCCCAUUCCUCACAAUCUCGUAAGAUUUGAGCAAACAUGGGAUCCUUGGGAUACAUUGUCUUCAAACAUUCAAAGCCAAGCAAUUUAGAAGACAAUGUAUUUAUCAACACAUUGGUCUUGAAUGCGGUUUUCCAUUCAUCACUAGGGUUCAUCCGAAUUUGAUGAGAACCACUCCUAAGAUCAAUAUUUGAAAACACACGAGAGCCAUUGAGCUCAUCAAGCAUAUCCUCUAAUCUAGGGAUACGAUGACGCGAUACUUUACCGUGAUCUUGCUAAUGACUCGACAAUCAACACACAUGCGCUAUGUUCCAUCUUUCUUUGGAACCAAGAGAACCAGAACGGCGCACAGACUCAUACUUUCUCUCACAUAGCCCAUGUUGAGGAGUUCCUCAACUUGCCUUUGUAACUCUUUGGCAAUUGUGAGCCCGACAUGAAAUCAAUUUGGUGCUCAAUUCCCCGAAGAGGGGGUAAUCCACUUGGAAGCUCCUUUGGGAAGACAUCCUCAUAAUCCUGCAAAAUAAGGGAAAUAGCAGAGAAGAAUGAGAUUGGUUAGUUUGCAACACAUGAUCCCUAUGUGUGAUAUUCAAAGAACUUUUGGCCUCCACUUCCUCCCUUAUCUCUUUGUAAGCCAACAACCUUGGGCCUUUCCUCUCUCAACUUCCUCCUUUCUUCCUCUUCAUUGCCCUCGACUUCCACAUGUUCUUCCUCAUCUUUUGUGAAGCAGAGACAAGUCAGAUCAGGCAUUUGAGAGCCAUCCUAACAAUUUUUGAAGGUAUCUCAGGUCUCCAUGUAAAUUGGCUGAAAAGUCACAUUUCUCCUAUCAACCAGGUUUGGAAUUUGCAAGAUCUGGCUGUUAUUCUGGGCUGCCAAGUGGAAUCUUUACCAACUAAAUAUUUGGGACUGCCACUAGGUGCUAAAAACAAAGAAUUAGAGGUGUGGAGUGGGGUGUUGGAAAGGUGCGAGAAUAAACUAUCUAGGUGGAAAAGUCAAUAUCUCUCUUUAGGGGGCAGAUUGACUCUCACCAAGUCAGUUCUUGAUGGCAUGCCUACAUACAUGAUGAGCCUUUUUCCCAUACCAAAGAGCAUUGAAAAAAAACUCAAUAGAGUUAGGAGAGCCUUUCUAUGGCAAGGAAACAAGGAGAAGAGAGGUUAUAACCUUGUGAAAUGGGAUGAACUGACUCUCAACACUCAACAAGGGGGGCUCAACCUGAAGAACCUCAGCAAACAAAACACCUCUCUCUUGCAGAAAUGGCUUUGGAGGUUCUCCUCAGAAGAGAGGGCCAUUUGGAGAAGAUUCAUAGCCGGAAAGUAUGGUUUACUCAAUCACUGGACAACUGAGGAGGUUGCGGGAACCUUUGGAUGUAGUGUCUGGAAAACCAUAAGAAGAUUAUGGCCUCAUUUCAACAACAACAUGUCAAUCACUGUUGGAAAUGGUUUGAAAACUGAUUUCUGGAAUGAGGUGUGGAUUGGAGAAGACAGUCUUAGAAACUCCUUUUCAAGAACAGCCUAAGAAAGUUAAGUUUUCUUGUUAAAUAGUAAUACAAAUGUUACCUUCCUCAAAAAAUGAGUACAACCAUAGUAUCUUUAUAUCUUAUUUAGAUGAGCCGUCUAAGAAGCAAAAAGCAUGACCUCCGAGUAAGAAAAUGAUUGUGAACAAACUUCUUUGCAACCUCACAGUAAAACUUUAUAGGCUACAACCCUAAGAUUUCUAAAUACACUUAGCAGUGGACAACAGUCUCAGUGUAGCACAAAAUAAAGAAGGCAACGGUCAGAAUAUCAUCUUCAGAAAAAACCUUAACGACUGGGAUAUGGACAGAGUUACUGACUUUUUUGUUCUUCUUUCCUCAGUUCCAGAUUUAAACAGUGAAAAUUUAAUUUUGGAGGGGCAGCAGAGAGAUGGUUCCAAUUCAGUGAAGUUGUGUUACUGCAUGCCAGUAAAAGAAGCCAGCCAAGAAACUUAUGGGUCAUGGAACAAGGUUUGGAACUCUAAAGGCACCAGUGGAAGUAAUGUGCUUUACAUGACUAGAUCAGAGAAGCUUUAUCAAACUCAAGACAAUUUGCAAAAGAGGGGCAUACAACUAGUCAGCAAAUGCUUUCUAUGUGGAGGAGAAUCAGAAUCAAACAAACAUCUUUUUGCGUAGUCCUUUCACUUCUCAGAUUUGGCAUCACUGUUUUGAACCUUAAAUGAGUCAUGCCUAAUUCACCUGCUGAUCUGUUACUAUGCCAACACAAAAAAAAACCCUUCCUUUUCUCCCUCAAACUCACUCAUCUUUUGAUACAAUUCAUUGACCUGAGAGGGUGACAAGGAUGGACAUAUUUAUGAUCAUCCAACACAAGUGAAUAUUUGUUGGUUCUCCCCUCAUGUUUGUGAACGAUCAUAUUGCCAAGGUCUUUCGAGUAGCACACGACAAGCUUGCAUUGGGACUACAUCACAUAAGAAUCUCAUCUUGGUAGGGGUGUGCAAAAACCGAACUGACCGAUAAACCGAACCGAUAAAAGUGUUAUUGGGGUAUUGGGUUAACAAUUUUUUAAUGGUUUUAUAAAAAAAAUUAUUGGGUUAUCGGUUUGGUAUUGGUUUUAAUAUUGGGUUAUUGGUAAACCGAUAACCCAUUAAGACUAGUAAUUUACUAUUUUUACUUGUACAUAAAUAUUAUAUAUUAAUCUCAAUAUCUUACUAGUUAUUAUCUUUGUCCUUUAGCUUUUAAUUCACAUCUCACAACGACUGAGUUAACAAUUUCACAUUAUACAAAAGGUUAAAAUCUAAAGUAAGAACUCUAUUCUUCUUAAUUUCUCUUUGUGUUACACUUGUAUAGUUCUUUUCAUGUUUGUUAUUAUUGUUUCUAUUUGCAUUUGUAAAGUUACAUUAUUGUGUUUUUGUAUCAAAUUUAUUAGAAAAGUCAUAUAUUUAUUUUAUAAGUAUUUUCUUAUUAGUUAAAUUGAAAACCGAACCGUUAAGGACCAAAAUUGAUAAACCGAAAACUGAUAAAAAAUAUCUUAUUGGUUUGGUUAUUGGCUUAACAUAUUUAAAAACCGAAAAUCGAUAAACUGAACCAAUAAUACAUAAAACCGAACCGACCGAUAGACACCCCUACAUCUUGGUACUUCCCAAUUUUGAACUUGAUCAACACUUGUCUAUGAACCCUCAAUUCUCCACACUCACUCAACCAUUGAAGCUUGUAAGGUGUAGCAUGCUUAGUGGUAGGAAGAUUCAAGAAUUCCACUAAAGCGGUGCUAGCAACGUUGGCACAACUCCUACUAUCAAUGAUCAAGGAACACACAUUAUCUUUGAUGAGGCACUUGGAGUGGAAAAGAUUCUCCCUUUGACUUGGAUCAUCCAUGUCCUUGCUAAUCAUAACUCGCCUCACCACAUACAUUGGUAUGGUGAACUCUCCUUCUCGAGGCCAAGCUUCUUCAAUUGGGGCCUUCCUCAUCAAACCAUUAGGAACAUCGACAUCUUUUCCCUCACAUAGGUCUUGUUCCUCAUCUUCAUCACUUUCAAAUUCAUCCUCUUCUUGUGUUUCCUCUUCACAACCCUCCUCUUGAUCUACCCCUUCACCAAUAUACAAUUACCCUACUUGAACUAGCACAUUCAACUGAUUGGGACAUUCACGCAUCAUGUGACCCCUUCCUCUACACGUGUGACAUUGAAUGCCUUUAAGAAAUUUGGUUGGGUCCUUAUUACCUCCCUCUCUUGGUGGGUACUUUGGAGUGUUUCUUUCAAAAGGUUUCUUCUCAUAAGGCUUCUUGAGAUCAUUAUUCUUGUUCCAACUUGAAGAUGUUUUAGCUCCUCCCUUGUUCUUACUCCAAGAAUUUGAAGAUGAAAUACCCUUGUACUUACCACUUUCUCCUCUUUGAGUUCCCGCUCUCCUUGUUUAACCCUACCUUAAAGCGAAUAAUGGCAUGCUCUUCAUUCUCGGUGUAUUUUAGCUUCAAGAUCAAAUUUUGGAACUCAUCAUGGUAAGCCGCAACACUUUUGCUUCCUUGCCUCGAGUUGUACAACUUAGCAAGUAACUCUAGGCAAUACCUUUCUGGCACAUACUUGACUCUCAUAAGGGCUUUCAAUCCGGUCCAUGGUGGAGGGUGUCCAUCUUGAAGUACUAGAAUCAACCUUUUCAUGUAUUCCCACCAUGUAAUAUCAAACCCUUCAAAUGAGCAAUGGCAAAGCAACUCUUUUUGACCUCGGUCAAAUCAUUGACGGGAAGAUUCUUUCACAAAGCGACUCCCAUUCUAGAUAAGCAUCGAGAUUGCAUUCCCCUUUGAAAGGUGGGAGAUUAGUAUUGAUAGAGUUGAUUCCAACAACUCGACCUCCAUUUCCACCUUGGUCCCCAUAAUAGUUUCCUUGGCCCUCACCCAUUUGGUUGUUGUUGUAGUAACCUCGUUGGACUUCUCCUUGAUAUUAGUACAGAGCUAUCUAAUAAAGAGUACAAGUCCCAAAAGUGGACCACAACAAAGCGUGUCUCAAAGGCAACAAGACUAGCUAAAACAAAAGAAAGAGAGAGAACAAACCCAAAACGCCAAGUGCUCGCCCUCGUCUCCGAAUCACAGCUGCAAAAGAAGGCUGGAACUAAUCACCGCUGGUAACUGGUACUGGGACCUGCAUCACCAAAUAGAUGCAGAGCGUUGCAUGAGUACCAACACAACAGGUACUCAGUAGGCAUCAUAGGCCGACUGAGCAAAAAGGGUAAAAACAAUAAGAAAGGAUAGAAUCUAGACACAGAGAGGUCAAAGCAGAUAUGAAAAGAAAGCACACGAGCAUACCAGAAAGAAACUAAGUACAACUAAACUAAACCUAACUAGAACCCCAUAUGCCCAGAAGGUACACUCGUGCGCAAGUUCAAAUAAAACCUGAACGGACCCCCAUAAGCCCGACAGGUACACAGAAAAGCUAAGUCUACUGAGAAAGAAGAAAAUCGAGCUCCCAGCCCAAAGUAACUAAGAUAAUCCAUCAGAAUCCACCCAGCCAACAGUGCACUCCCAGCCCAGCUAGAAAGAGGGACCCGUGAGUGAGGUAGAUAUCGCGAGUCGUCCUACCAUGCAGCCAGCUCCCAGCCCAGCUAGAAAGAGGGACCCGUGAGUGAGGUAGAUAUCGCGAGUCGUCCUACCAUGCAGCCAGCUCCCAGCCCAGCUAGAAAGAGCACCCGGGGACACCCAGCCAGCAGCACACUCCCAUCCCAGCUAGAAAGAGAGGCCCGGGGGAGGUUGCCGAUAUCACCGAAUCUACCCAGCCAACGAUACGUUCUCAGCCCAGCUAGAAAGAAUGACCCCGGGGGUGAUGGUAUCUCCAAUAGGAUCCAAUCCAACAACAACCACCGUGGAACGCCGUCCAUUCUAAGAAAUCACAGAAAAGGCUCCAAGCCUAUACCAUCUCAAUCCCACGCCUCUAGUGAUGCGCCAAACCUUCGAGAAUGCGUCGGAACCGCAGAAUGAGAGGGAGAAGAUACAGACGUGCAACAAGCAGCGAUAACGCCUAACCUAGACUAAGGACAUCAUGCUUACGGUUAAGGAUGAACAAGGCAUACAAUAUCAUACAACCAUACUAUUGCAUUUAGCACAUAAGCAUGCAACUCUACUAAACCGAUUAACAUGAUACUAUACCCGAAAUAUGGCCAAUCGAUCCUAGCAUGAGGUAUCUAAUCAAAGCAAGGUAGGAAACUGGUACCCACCCACGAUUCAUUCCAAUCGACAUGCGUUUACACAAUUAAGCUCAAUCUAAAAGAAAGGAAGCCGUAGCCUACCUUAAGGCUGACCGUGAGCGCUCCAAAUCACUUUACCGGAGCUUUUCCUUCUCGAACGACCUUUGAACGCUGAUGGAACGCUGUCACUCUGUCAAAUAUAAGAUCACAACGUUAGUACGGUCGUUUAGACACCAAAAUCACAACAAACGAAGAUGGGUCAAUUUUGGAGUCAAAACGGGAAUCGUGGGAUCCGCACCGAACUGUCAGAAUUUGACUCCGUCAAGAGACCCUAAACAGCAUCCCAGUGUUCCAAAAUGGAACACAAUUCGUGGCUCAAAACGCAGCAAAAACCAACAAGCAAAAAAAUCACACUUUAAUCAACCAAAAAAAAGAAAACAACAGCAGUCCAAACUCGGAAUAAACGAGAAUCGAAAGGUGCCCAGCACUCUUUGAACACUCUACGACGAAGUUACGACAAUUCUCAACAUGUGGGACUUCGAAUCACCCAAAACCGAGCUAAAAUGAGAGAGAUAUGACCAAAACAAGAAUGACCAAAAACAAAGGACUCAAAAAAGGGUACAACAGUCAGGUUAUCGUGAAAUUUACCUCAAACUACGCGCACUCGACAACUUUCGAACACUCUACAACGAAGCCACCAAAAAUAUGAAGCUCCCGCACUUCGAAUCGCCUAAAUCGGUUGAUGAGAGAGAGAUGAGGGUUUAAGUUUUGGGAAAUGUUGUUGGUUUUUCUGCAAUUAUAACAGAUUUUCUGCAAUUUUCCAAAAACUAAAAACUUCGACGGGGAGCUCCGAACACGUUCAGAACACCGUGCGCGCAAACGAGAUAUGCAACCAUACCAAAUUCGAUAUUCCGGACUCAACAGCGCAGUCGAAAUUUCCAUCAAAGGUCAUCUCGAUAAAAAGUGGGUCCCACUUCCAAAAGCCAUUUUUAAGUCAAAAUCCACAAAAGGGCUCAGAAAGAUAUCGAAAACCUCGGGACACAAAAGAAGGGUCAAUCUAGACCAAACUUGACAUUCCAGAGCUAACCGCGCUGACAGAAUUUUCAUCCGAGUGCGUUUGCUCAGAAUGUUGACCAAAGUCAAACGUAGGCUUAAACUUAAAGUUAAAAUGCCUAAUUGCACCGACUCACACUUAAAACCUCGGGAGUCAUGUCGACCAUGCUACCAGCCUAAAAUGACCUAACCUCAAAUGACCCUUCCGGAGCUGAUGGAAUCAUUAGAAUUGGAUUCUGAUGUCAUCUUCUUGAACUUUUGAUAGAAAAUGAUCGUUCAAGGUUCAUAAGCUCCAAAACACAAAAACUCACACCAAGAUCAAACGAACGACCAGGUGACCGAACUGUCAGUCCCAGCAAGUCAUAAAUGACUUGGGGUCGCUACAGGAACGCUCUAAACGAUGAAAUGAAUUCUUUAAUUUAAAAAUGAGCUGGAGGGUCAUUACAAUAUCCACUACUAAAAAGGACUUUCGUCCGCGAAAGAAAGGAUCAAAAAGUACCUCAAGGCUCAAACAAGCUGGAAAACUGCUUUCGCAUCUCCUCCAACGGACCUUAACAACAGGAAUGGCUCUCGAGCGCAAUCUCCUCACAUCUCUGGCUAGAAUGGCAACUGGUUCCUCUACAAAUGUCAAACGAUCAUUCAAUUCGACUGCAUCAUACUGGGAGCACAUGGGACUCAUCAGGAACAUAUCGCUGCAACAUCGAGACAUGGAAAACUGGGUGGAUGGCUGAAAAUGCUGGAGGUAGGGCCAAUUCAUAAGCAACCUCCCAACUGUCCGGAGUAUCUCAAAAGGCCCAAUGUACCUGGGGCUAAGCUUGCCCCGCCUCCCAAACCUCAUCACGCCCUUCAUGGGCGACACACGGAGAAAUACCCGAUCACCAACAAAGAAUCUCAAAGGUCGGCGCCUCCGAUCUGCAUAACUCUGGUGCCUACUCUGAGCCGUCCUGAGCCUAUCCUGAAUCACCCUCACCUGAUCCAGGGCCUCCUGAUGACAUUUGCCUUCUCAAUCUUUUCCCUGUUGAUUAUAGUAAACGUGCAAAUAUUCUUUUGCUUUGGUAGUCCCUCAUAUUCUCUUUUGAUAUUUGGACUGUGAGGACACAAUCACAUUUUUAGUUGGGGGUGCCUCCCUUGUACUCAUUUUGUUGAUUGUUUCUGAAGACUGUGAUUGUGCUCGUUAUGGAUUAGUGUGCCCUUGUCAGGCUUUGAUAUUGUGGAUGUUUCUAUUGAUAUUGUGUUGGAUUGGUGUAUUUUAGUUUUUGAGUUGUAGUUUGUAGCUUCUUUGUUUUAUUUUAUUGUAAGAUUUGGAAUGACGAUGCCCGAUGAUAGAUAAGAUUUUCAUAUGAGUGUUUGAUUGGUGUUGAUUGUGGCGAAGUUUGAGUAGUUCCCGAAUAGAUGCAUGAGGUUGCCUGUUGAUGGAUUGGUUGAUGACUUUCUUAAGGCUGAAAUCAUCAUCUAUUUGGGAACGUUUUAACUUGGUU
rnacentral:lncRNA from 1 species